rnacentral:rRNA from 1 species
GACGAACGCUGGCGGCGUGCCUAAUACAUGCAAGUAGAACGCACAGUUUAUACCGUAGCUUGCUACACCAUAGACUGUGAGUUGCGAACGGGUGAGUCACGCGUAGCUAAUCUGCCUGGUAGCGGGGGAUAACUAUUGGAAACGAUAGCUAAUACCGCAUAAUAUUAAUUAUUGCAUGAUAAUUCAUUGAAAGGUGCAAUUGCACCACCACUAGAUGGACCUGCGUUGGAUUAGGUAGUAGGCGAGGUAACGGCUCACCUAUGCGACGAUACAUAGCCGACCUGGGAAGGUGGUCGGGCACACUUGGACUGGGACACCGGCCAAACUCCUACGGGAAGCAGCAGUAGGGGAACAUCGGCAAUAGGCGGAAGUCUUACCGAACAACGCCGCGGGGGGUGAGAAAGGUUUCGGGUCGUAAAAGUCUGUUGGAAGGGAAGAACGAGUGUGAGAGUGAAAAGUUCACGCUGUGACGGUAUCUUACCAGAAAGGAACGGCUAACUACGUG